UACGAAGGGGGCUAGCGUUGUUCGGAAUUACUGGGCGUAAAGCGCACGUAGGCGGAUAUUUAAGUCAGGGGUGAAAUCCCAGAGCUCAACUCUGGAACUGCCUUUGAUACUGGGUAUCUUGAGUAUGGAAGAGGUAAGUGGAAUUGCGAGUGUAGAGGUGAAAUUCGUAGAUAUUCGCAGGAACACCAGUGGCGAAGGCGGCUUACUGGUCCAUUACUGACGCUGAGACGCGAAAGCGUGGGGAGCGAACAGG
rnacentral:rRNA from 1 species